AUCCCUUGACAUCCUGCGAACUUUCUAGAGAUAGAUUGGUGCCUUCGGGAACGCAGUGACAGGUGCUGCAUGGCUGUCGUCAGCUCGUGUCGUGAGAUGUUGGGUUAAGUCCCGCAACGAGCGCAACCCUUAUCAUUAGUUGCUAACAUUUAGUUGAGAACUCUAAUGAGACUGCCGGUGAUAAACCGGAGGAAGGCGGGGACGACGUCAAGUCAUCAUGGCCCUUACGAGUUGGGCUACACACGUGCUACAAUGGCCGGUACAGAGGGCUGCAAACCUGCGAAGGUAAGCUAAUCUCACAAAACCGGUCGUAGUCCGGAUUGGAGUCUGCAACUCGACUCCAUGAAGUCGGAAUCGCUAGUAAUCGUGGAUCAGAAUGCCACGGUGAAUACGUUCCCGGGCCU
rnacentral:rRNA from 1 species